CAGGCUUAACACAUGCAAGUCGAGGGGCAGCAUGGUCUUAGCUUGCUAAGACUGAUGGCGACCGGCGCACGGGUGAGUAACACGUAUCCAACCUGCCGUCUACUCUUGGACAGCCUUCUGAAAGGAAGAUUAAUACAAGAUGGCAUCAUGAGUCCGCAUGUUCACAUGAUUAAAGGUAUUCCGGUAGACGAUGGGGAUGCGUUCCAUUAGAUAGUAGGCGGGGUAACGGCCCACCUAGUCUUCGAUGGAUAGGGGUUCUGAGAGGAAGGUCCCCCACAUUGGAACUGAGACACGGUCCAAACUCCUACGGGAGGCAGCAGUGAGGAAUAUUGGUCAAUGGGCGAGAGCCUGAACCAGCCAAGUAGCGUGAAGGAUGACUGCCCUAUGGGUUGUAAACUUCUUUUAUAAAGGAAUAAAGUCGGGUAUGCGUACCCGUUUGCAUGUACUUUAUGAAUAAGGAUCGGCUAACUCCGUGCCAGCAGCCGCGGUAAUACGGAGGAUCCGAGCGUUAUCCGGAUUUAUUGGGUUUAAAGGGAGCGUAGAUGGAUGUUUAAGUCAGUUGUGAAAGUUUGCGGCUCAACCGUAAAAUUGCAGUUGAUACUGGAUAUCUUGAGUGCAGUUGAGGGCAGGCGGAAUUCGUGGUGUAGCGGUGAAAUGCUUAGAUAUCACGAAGAACUCCGAUUGCGAAGGCAGCCUGCUAAGCUGCAACUGACAUUGAGGCUCGAAAGUGUGGGUAUCAAACAGGAUUAGAUACCCUGGUAGUCCACACGGUAAACGAUGAAUACUCGCUGUUUGCGAUAUACUGCAAGCGGCCAAGCGAAAGCGUUAAGUAUUCCACCUGGGGAGUACGCCGGCAACGGUGAAACUCAAAGGAAUUGACGGGGGCCCGCACAAGCGGAGGAACAUGUGGUUUAAUUCGAUGAUACGCGAGGAACCUUACCCGGGCUUAAAUUGCAGAUGAAUUACGGUGAAAGCCGUAAGCCGCAAGGCAUCUGUGAAGGUGCUGCAUGGUUGCCGUCAGCUCGUGCCGUGAGGUGUCGGCUUAAGUGCCAUAACGAGCGCAACCCUUGUUGUCAGUUACUAACAGGUUCCGCUGAGGACUCUGACAAGACUGCCAUCGUAAGAUGUGAGGAAGGUGGGGAUGACGUCAAAUCAGCACGGCCCUUACGUCCGGGGCUACACACGUGUUACAAUGGGGGGUACAGAGGGCCGCUACCACGCGAGUGGAUGCCAAUCCCCAAAACCUCUCUCAGUUCGGACUGGAGUCUGCAACCCGACUCCACGAAGCUGGAUUCGCUAGUAAUCGCGCAUCAGCCACGGCGCGGUGAAUACGUUCCCGGGCCUUGUACACACCGCCCGUCAAGCCAUGGGAGCCGGGGGUACCUGAAGUGCGUAACCGCGAGGAGCGCCCUAGGGUAAAACUGGUGACUGGGGCUAAGUAG
rnacentral:rRNA from 1 species